UUCUGUUUAUUUUCGUGCAGCCAUUUGUAGAAAAUUAGCCGAACCCUGUAUGCAUCCGUAGACGCAACAGAGGCAAAGCCACAGUGUGCUCAAUAUGGUUAUUUUCUGUGUUUCCAUCACAUGUAAUCAUCUUAAGGGUCAAAAUUCCAAACUCUGACUCUCUCACACACACACACACACACACAAACACACACAGCAGGCAAAACAUGAACCCCAAUUCACAGUUUCAUAGUAGACAUUGGAAACAGGCAGAUAAGGUCCAAGAUAUGGCAAUACAGGAAUUUCUAAAUAAACACACCAGCAGGAAAUGAGGCUCAGAAAUAGCAAAGCUUUACAAAGGCGUAAAGGAAAAACAGGGAGCGAAGACACAGGCCAUGAUUACAAGGUUAAUGAGACACAGGUGCAGGUGAGAACGAGCAGAAGCGAAAAUACCUGCUCCAUAAGUAUUUGGACGGAUUUGUCACCUUUAUAUACCAACAAAAUGGAUUUGAAAUGAAGCAAUUAAAGUUUAGAAUCUUCACUAUCAACCCACGGCCAUCAAUCUGUAAGUGUGAAGGCUCAGCUGUACCUUGUACCGAUGUGUAAAAAGCCUGAUGCAGCACCUUUUCUACCUCGCGACCAUGCAGCAUCGUCAAACACCUCAGUGCGAGUCGAAGGCAAAUUAUGCCUGCUCGAUCACACCACGCUGCAGGUGCUCGUGCUUCUGGGACUGUAGGGACUUGAAAAAGAUGUACCACUGAGGGCAAAGAGAUAGAACAGCCUGGAGCUAGGUUCUCAUGUGAAGCCUUACAAGCAAGAAAAGAAAGUUUAAUGGCUGCUCAGGUGCUUGUUUUGUUUCUCAUCAUCACAAAAUCCGGACUACUGCACCACGCUAUGGGCAGAUGUGCUUCUAAAAGACACUCGACUGCUGCAACUGAUUAAAAAUUCAGCCGCACGACUUGUUUUCAGCCUUCCGAGGUUCUUCCACAUCGCUUUUCCUUCCCCUGGCUUCCUGUAGCUGCCUAUACACAGUUAAAACACUGCUGCCAAUAAAUCUCACCCUGCAAUGCACCAAGCUCCCUCCGAUCCUCAAAAACUGCUCCACCGAUCAUUUCAUCUCUCAGGGCACCAGAAAAACAUGCUUCCGAAUAAGAAAAAUAUACUUAUCACGUGUACAUUACAGCACAGUGCAAUUGUUUCCUCGCAGAAAACGGGUCUGAGUGCAAGAUCAGCCGUGAUACAUCGCCCCUGGAGGACAGAGGGUUAAGGGCUUUGCUCCAGAGCCCAAAAGAAGUAGCUUGGUUAUACUGGGGCUUCAACCCCCGACCUUCUGAUCAGUAACCCAGAGAUGUCCGAACCAUUGAUUUACGAUCGGUCUUUAAACCGCCAAAGCUUUAAAUGAACACGUCUGCAAAAUAAAAAUCACAAUCUUUUCUUCUA